AGAUUGAACGCUGGCGGCAGGCCUAACACAUGCAAGUCGAGCGGUAGAGAGGUGCUUGCACCUCUUGAGAGCGGCGGACGGGUGAGUAAUGCCUAGGAAUCUGCCUAGUGGUGGGGGAUACCGUUCGGAAACGGACGCUAAUACCGCAUACGUCCUACGGGAGAAAGCGGGGGACCUUCGGGCCUCGCGCCAUUAGAUGAGCCUAGGUCGGAUUAGCUAGUUGGUGAGGUAAUGGCUCACCAAGGCGACGAUCCGUAACUGGUCUGAGAGGAUGAUCAGUCACACUGGAACUGAGACACGGUCCAGACUCCGUACGGGAGCAGCAGUGGGGAAUAUUGGACAAGUGGGACGAAAGCCUAG
rnacentral:rRNA from 1 species